CCUACGGGUGGCAGCAGUGAGGAAUAUUGGUCAAUGGCCGAGAGGCUGAACCAGCCAAGUCGCGUGAAGGAAGACGGCCCUACGGGUUGUAAACCUCUUUUGUCGGGGAGCAAAGCGAGUCACGUGUGACUCAUUGAGAGUACCCGAAGAAAAAGCAUCGGCAAACUCCGUGCCAGCAGCCGCGGUAAUACGGAGGAAGCGAGCGUUAUCCGGAUUUAUUGGGGUUAAAGGGUGAGCAGGCGGAGGGGCAAGUCAGCGGUAAAAUUGCGGGGCUCAACCCCGUACUGCCGUUGAAACUGCAUCCCUUGAGUGCGCGAGAAGUAGGCGGAAUGCGUGGUGUAGCGGUGAAAUGCAUAGAUAUCACGCAGAACUCCGAUUGCGAAGGCAGCAUACCGGCGCGCAACUGACGCUCAUGCACGAAAGCGUGGGUAUCGAACAGGAUUAGAUACCCCGGUAGUC
rnacentral:rRNA from 1 species